CAGAUGGCGACUUUACUUGGGUGGAUCGUCGACAUGGAAACUUUACAGCAUGGGCCGAGAACCAGCCAAAUAACCUCAAAGAAGAAGAUUGUGCGCACGCACUUGGUGUGAAACACGACUAUGAAUGGAACGACGUGCAGUGUAGUGAUUGUUAUCAGUUUACUUGUAAGAAGGACUUAGAUGAAUGUGAAAAUGAGCUAAAUUACUGUCACAAGCAGGCCACGAGUACAAAUGAACGUGGCUCGUACAAGUGUAAGUGUAACGCUGGAUACCUUGGAGAUGGAUUUCAGUGCAGCUCUUUCUUCAGUGCAGGGUUGGAUCAUUCUACAAUACUGGCAAAUGAUAACAAUUACCUUAAAACACUAAGCAAUUGGUUGAAGCCCGUUGUGCAGAGCCAGUCCUCCUACUGGAAGCGCUGUUGGAGAGCAUCAAUUGAUGGUUGGGCCAGCACUACAUUCCACUCAUUGUGUGAUGGCCAAGGGCCGACGGUGACUAUUGUCCGUGUGGGAAAAUAAAUCUUUGGUGGAUACAACAGCUUAUCUUGGAGUAAGUGCACCAUUGAUUGCAUUUAUGUGGAUUUUUUUUUAUCCUCACUAAAAUAGCACCUACAAAUUUAAAAUCUUGAGUUCAUCUGUUUAUCGCACAAUCAGACACAGGCGCUAAUAUAGGCGAAAGCGAGCAGAUCAAGCACAUUCCUUUGAAAAGGAACUUACCUUGAAUUAAAAAAAAAAGCCUCCACUCGUUGUUUAUACUAUAGUAAUUCAAAAGUGUAAAAACGGCAGAGCAAAGAAAAUCAAGGGUAUCCACGGCGUCUUUGAGUAGGUAUAGCGUAGCCUGACAAACAGAACAAACUAAUCAUAGCCUUCGUUCCGAGUGCCUUUUAAGCUUGGGUUGUAAGUGAUUGUAUUUUCAAGUAACACUGUGUGAAACAAAUUGCCGUCAGAUGAGUUAUUUUAUUCAUCAGUUACUAGCGCACAACGCGAGCAAUGCGCAAAAGAAGCGAAGGGUAUGUUCAAACAGGGUUUAUACAAGCAGUUGGGGCCUGCACCAAGUUUCAACCACGGCAGGUGAAUUUAAAAUUUCUAAAUAUUGAAGAAAGUAAAAGGCAGUAGAAACUUUUAAUAUCAUUUCGGGGAUUGAUUUUGUCCGGGCUUCCGGGGCCAGACGGGGAGAAAUUCGAUAUUCCUCUUCUAGGCAGAUUCUCAAUAUUUCAGACAAACGGUCGCGGAAAAAUUUCCAGUCACAUAAUAUUUGCUAAUGUUUUACCGUGAUUGUGUCAACGAGUUAAGAAAUAUGAUUCCGAAAAAAGAAAAAAGCACCACCCUAAAAUAAACGCCGCCCAGAAAUAAAUACGCUGAACAUAAACGCUAAAACGUAAU